GAGGGUACAGCUCAGUGGUAGAGAACGUACUUUGGAUGUAUGAGGUCGUGAGUUCAAUCCCCAGUGCCUCCA
rnacentral:tRNA from 1 species